AUAUAUAGCGAAAGUGAGAGAGCAUUCGAGGAACGGAAAAAUGAUGUUGAGAAGUUGAGACAGGUUCUGUUUUUGUUUGUUUGUUUGUUGUUGUUUUUCGGUUGUUGUUUUUUUUGGUUUUUUUUU
rnacentral:ribozyme from 14 species